GCGUUGUUCGGAUUCAUUGGGCGUAAAGGGUGUGUAGGUGGCGCCGUAAGUCGGGUGUGAAAUCUCGGGGCUUAACUCCGAAACUGCAUUCGAUACUGCGGUGCUUGAGGACUGGGGAGGAGACUGGAAUUCAUGGUGUAGCAGUGAAAUGCGUAGAGAUCAUGAGGAAGACCAGUGGCGAAGGCGGGUCUCUGGACAGUUCCUGACACUGAGACACGAAGGCCAG
rnacentral:rRNA from 1 species